CAAAAUGGACUACAGGACAGCACUUGUGUUUGUCACAUACUGGACAGGUGUCUUUGCUCAGACUCUGACUGAAUCUGGUCCAGCUGUGAAAAGACCAGGAGAGUCCCACAGACUGACCUGUACAACAUCUGGGUUCACAUUUAGCAGCUAUGAAAUGAGCUGGAUCAGACAGGCUCCUGGGAAGGGGCUGCAGUGGCUGGCUUACAUAUGGAGCGGUGGGAGCACUACUUAUUACUCUGAGUCAGUGAAAGGCAGGUUCACCAUCUCCAGAGACAACAGCAGAAACCAGCUGUAUCUGCAGAUGAACAACCUCCAGACUGAGGACACGGCUGUGUACUACUGUGCCCGAGAGCACAGUGACACAAAGUAUAUCUACAACUGUACAAAAACAUUAAAGGGUGCAAUUCACAAUAACAACCAGAGGGGUCGCCCUAUACACAGCAAAAUGUCACUGAAGCUUUAAGUGCAGGUGGUUCUAGAAUAUUGAGUCACACUUUAUAAUAAAUGCAGAUUAAUUCAUCUUAAACACAAAUAAAAACAUAAUUCACGAUGAGCAAAUACUAUAUUAACAAUUUGUUUAUUAUAAAUUAAAUCUUUGUUUACUAAUUAAUUAUUUAAGUCUUGAUAUAUAUGAGUUAUUUUAAAGUAGUAAUGCAGCUGUUUGUUUAAUUCAUCAGUCGUCCAGGUAGGAUCCACAGUAAAAGAAAAAAUCAAUUCUGGACUGGACAAAAGCUUUCUGAGUUUUCAUCUGAGCAGCUUCUUAAGUUCUGAAUUUUUGUUUAGCUAUUGUAAUGUAGCUAUUUUAAAUCUGACCCCUUAUAAC